UCAGCUAGUUGGUUAGGGGUUAAACGGGACCCGUACCAAGGCGAACGACGGGUAGGCUGGUCGUGAGAGGAUGACCAGCCACACUGGAACUGAGACACGGUCCAGACUCCUACGGGAGGGCAGCAGUGGGGAAUCUUGCGCAAUGGGCGAAAGCCUGACGCAGCGACGCCGCGUGGGUGACGAAGGCCUUCGGGUUGUAAAGCCCUGUGGGGGGAGACGAACCGGGUCGUGGCUAAUAUCCACGGUCCUUGACGGUAUCCCUUUAGCAAGCAUCGGCUAACUCUGUGCCAGCAGCCGCGGUAAGACAGAGGAUGCAAACGUUGCUCGGAAUUACUGGGCGUAAAGCGCGCGCAGGUGGUCCGGUAAGUCGGGUGUGAAAUCCCGGGGCUCAACCUCGGAAGUGCACUCGAUACUGCUAGACUUGAGUACUGGAGAGGAGAGCGGAAUUCCCGGUGUAGAGGUGAAAUUCGUAGAUAUCGGGAGG
rnacentral:rRNA from 1 species